rnacentral:rRNA from 1 species
CCUACGGGGGACAGCAGUGAGGAAUAUUGGUCAAUGGACGAGAGUCUGAACCAGCCAAGUAGCGUGAAGGAUGACUGCCCUAUGGGUUGUAAACUUCUUUUAUAUGGGAAUAAAAUGUUCCACGUGUGGGCUUUUGUAUGUACCAUAUGAAUAAGGAUCGGCUGACUCCGUGCCAGCAGCCGCGGUAAUACGGAGGAUCCGAGCGUUAUCCGGAUUUAUUGGGUUUAAAGGGAGCGUAGGUGGAUUGUUAAGUCAGUUGUGAAAGUUUGCGGCUCAACCGUAAAAUUGCAGUUGAAACUGGCAGUCUUGAGUGCAGUAGAGGUAGGCGGAAUUCGUGGUGUAGCGGUGAAAUGCUUAGAUAUCACGAAGAACUCCGAUUGCGAAGGCAGCUCACUGGACUGCAACUGACACUGAGGCUCGAAAGUGUGGGUAUCAAACAGGAUUAGAUACCCCAGUAGUC